rnacentral:lncRNA from 1 species
AACCUCAUCUUCAAGUGGUUUCUUUUUGGAGACAGGCCCUUUUGGUGGGUCCAUGAGUCUGGUUACUACAGCCAGGCUCCAGCCCAGGUUCACCAGUUCCCCUCUUCUUGUGAGACUGGUCCAGGCAGCCCUUCUGGACACUGCAUGAUCACAGGAGCAGCCCUCUGGCCCAUAAUGACGGCCCUGUCUUCGCAGGUGGCCACUCGGGCCCGCAGCCGCUGGGUAAGGGUGAUGCCUAGCCUGGCUUAUUGCACCUUCCUUUUGGCGGUUGGCUUGUCGCGAAUCUUCAUCUUAGCACAUUUCCCUCACCAGGUGCUGGCUGGCCUAAUAACUGGUGAGCAACUGGGGCAACGGGGUGGACUGAGAGGAUGCCUUUGGCAGUGGGAGGAUCAGUCUAGGAUCUUCCCAUCGCUCCCAGCUUCUGUAGAGCCCACCCCAGAGGCCCCCCGUUAUGUCUCAGUUUAUUCUCUUGCCAAGCUGCACUGCAGCUGGGGGUCGGGGUGGGGAGGGUCAUAUCCCCAGACUCCUUGAAGCUGUUGUCACUCCACUCUCCUAGGCGCUGUCCUGGGCUGGCUGAUGACUCCCCGAGUGCCUAUGGAGCGGGAGCUAAGCUUCUAUGGGUUGACUGCACUGGCCCUCAUGCUAGGCACCAGCCUCAUCUAUUGGACCCUCUUUACACUGGGCCUGGAUCUUUCUUGGUCCAUCAGCCUAGCCUUCAAGUGGUGUGAGCGGCCUGAGUGGAUACACGUGGAUAGCCGGCCCUUUGCCUCCCUGAGCCGUGACUCAGGGGCUGCCCUGGGCCUGGGCAUUGCCUUGCACUCUCCCUGCUAUGCCCAGGUGCGUCGGGCACA